GCCGCCGCGCCUCGCGUAGGGAGGAAGAGGAAGCGCCCGGGCGCCGGCCCGCGCGGCCCCCAGCCCGGCCUGGGGCCUACCCGGAACCGGGCCCUAGGCGCUCCGCCGUUGGGCCGGGACGACGGCGGCGGCAGGUGCUUCCCGGCUGCGAGCUGGGACCGCGGGAGGCUCCCGCCUUCGGGCGCUUGGCCGCCGGGCCGACCGCGGGAAGCGCCCUGGUGCCCUCAACCCCGACGGGAGGCUGCGCACCGGCCGGGGACACGUGUUUGUGUUUCUUUUUAAGCCAGCGGCCCGGCAGGAAAGGCGGCUAACCUUCGGGCUUUAUCCCGCGUUGCCCGGCCCGGUGACUCGCGGUCGGGAGGGCGUAGGCGCGGGAGGCUGCUGGGCUUGGCUGCUGUGCCCCACGGCCGGCUGGCUCCUUGGGAACCAUCCCGGUGGAAGACUCCGCUCUCGGGUGUCCGGCGGCCCCCGCGCAAAGUUUGUUCCAGCAUCUUGGCUCAGCCUGAGUGCUCUGUUUAGAAAACUAUUGGGGCAUUAUUCAUCAAAUAUUUAUGCAUCCCCUUACCACGUGUCUGUUGGCAGCGUGGUUUGGUAGAAAGAAGCCGCACUUUGGAAUCAAGACAGAUCUGCCAUGGAUUCUGGAUCUGAUAUCCUGUGUAUAACCUUGGACAAGUUCAUUGAUCUUGCUGAGUCCCCGUUUCUUUGUCUUUUGUUUGGUUUUUGUUAUUUUAAUUUACCCUUUUAUAUUUGAAAUUCCUUUGUGUGUGUGUGCGCGCGCGCGCGUGUGCAAAAACCAGAACUGUGUCCUUUAGCUAAGUCUACCUAAAUUGGAUUCUAAAGUACUCAUUGCUUUGGGAUUAUUCUUAUUCCUUUCCACCGUUAGUAGCUGUGUUACCUGGAUAAAAUGAGAGCCUUCUUGUGCUUUUCCCAUCUUUAAAAUGGGCUUUAAAAAAAAAAAUGGGCGUGAUUACAGAUGAUAAUAAUAACAGCAAGUAUUUGGUGAAUUAAGAGCUAAAGAGUAUAUAAACUAACAGGGGACACAGUAAAAGCAGUUUGUUACAGUAUUAAAUCUGAUUUAAGAGGCGUCUUGAUUUCAAAAAUAUAAAAAGCUCAUCUUAAAGUCAAGGAAAUAAAUAUUAGGUCACUCAGCUCUA